rnacentral:lncRNA from 1 species
GCUGCCGUUUUACUAGUUGGGUAGUUAUUAUCAGAUGAGGCGGAACACAGACUCUAGAGUCAGGCCCUGCCACUCUCUACUUGGGUGAAUUUAGGACUUCAGAGCCUCGAGGUUUUUUUACCUGAAAAAAAAAAAAAAACCCAAAAAGCAGAGAAACAUUUACCUAGUGUAGUUUCCUAGUUCCUUGAAUUUCAAGGCCAUGCCCGCUCUUGUGUAUUUCAGCACCCAAUACAACCUAUGCUAAAGGAACAGAAAGAGUCUGCUGUUCACCGUGGCCUUUCCCAGGUGUCUUCCUGGAGGAUCAAGAAGUGAGGGCCUAGCUUAGUUUGGCUCACAGGAGCCAUGGCUUCUGACUCUCAACAACUAAUGCUGCUUGGUAGUCAGAGCCUUUGCCAGCUAUGCCCAGGGGCACAGUGUGUGCACCAGCACAGUCCUCGAUAGGGCAAGUGGCAUGGUUCUGCUAGUGUGGAGAAGUGAGUAAGUAGUCAGGACUCUCGCCAUCACGGGCAGCAGCAUCUUGGUGGUGAGAGCAGCAGAGCAGAGGAUCUGUUCUGUCCGCCGUGGCAGGUUGCAGCGGGGCCUGACUGUUCCAGCCUGUUCCUUUAGAACAGCUUGCUUUCAGGAAGCUUGGGACACAGAAGUCAGGCAUCCCUUGAGGUGCUAGCUGGCACUUUUACACCUGCGAGGGGAAGGGAGAUUAGCUUCGAGGCUUUAGGAAAGGGCCUCUGCAAUGUGGUCAGUUUUCCUUUACUUGUUGUGCAGUUUCAUUUCUCUGCCCCUGCUGACUGCCGCAUGUAUUAAUCCCUUUC